rnacentral:rRNA from 1 species
UACGGAGGGUGCGAGCGUUGUCCGGAAUCAUUGGGCGUAAAGGGCGCGUAGGUGGCCCGGUCAGUUCGUGGUGAAAGCGCGGGGCUCAACCCUGCGUCGGCCAUGAAUACUGCCGCGGCUGGAGCACUGUAGAGGCAGGCGGAAUUCCGGGUGUAGCGGUGAAAUGCGUAGAUAUCGAGAGGAACACCAGUGGCGAAGGCGAGUCUCUGGACGACUCCUGACACUGAGGCACGAAAGCUGGGGGAGCAAACGAGG